UAUAAGAUUCAACAGUUAAUAAGAGAGCAAAAAAAAUUAAAGAUGGCAAACAGUUUUGGGAUUGUCUUCUUGCUUUUGCUGGCUCUCUUGGCCUCUUGGCGCAUAAACUGUGUUUUUGCUUCUCCUCGGCUGGAGUUACACCCAUUGCGUAUCAACGGAGAUCAGAGAAGGAAGCUAAUACCAGUAUCACCAUCAUGUAGUCUAAAAGGUGGUGGUGGUCGCGGUAGUGGUUGUCGACAAGGUGGUGGUCCUCCGAGACGAUAGUUUCACCGCUCGCUGUGAUUUGGGAUUAUCGUCGGUCUACACUAAUUAUAAAUCUGCUUCAGUUCUGCCAAUAAGUUGAAGCCUUCCCACAGAGAGAUUUAAUUAGUAUUGUUUUAUCAAAAAAUUCUUAUUUGUUUGAUAGUUCAUACUUCAUAAGCACUAGUCUGCCUA